rnacentral:ribozyme from 1 species
AAAUAAAUAGAUAAAUGGAUACAUAUAAAUACGAGAGGGGGGGGUUUUUAUUUACCUUCCACGUAUUUGUGUGUGUUCUUUUUCCUCCUUUUUUU